AGCAGCAGCCGCGGUAAGACAGAGGAUGCAAGCGUUAUCCGGAAUGAUUGGGCGUAAAGCGUCUGUAGGUGGCUUUUCAAGUCCGCCGUCAAAUCCCAGGGCUCAACCCUGGACAGGCGGUGGAAACUACAUGUCUUGAGUACAGGAGAGGAAAGCGGAAUUCCCAGUGUAGCGGUGAAAUGCGUAGAGAUUAGGAGGAACACCAGUGGCGAAGGCGGCUUUUUGGCCUGUAACUGACGCUGAGGCUCGAAAGCCAGGGGAGCGAACGGGAUUAGAUACCCCCGUAGUCCCUGACUCUUAUAC
rnacentral:rRNA from 1 species